GACUAUUCACUUUUCAAACAAGGGAAGGAGAAAUGAUCUAUCAGAAGGUUCAUUCUGCGACACUGGCCAUAGCUGAGCAACAUGAAAGAUUAAUGCUAGAAAUGGAACAGAAGGCCCGGCUUCAGACAAGCUUGACUGAACCAAUGACAUUAUCCAAAUCAAUAUCUCUUCCUCGCAGCGCGUACUGGCAUCACAUCACUCGUCAGAACAGCGUUGGUGAAAUCUACAGUUUGCAAGGAAAUCAUGAAAAUCGGCACUCCGAUUUAACAGGAAAGAGUUGCAAGAAAUCCGAGAACAGAUUUCUUGAAGAAAAUGCACCCUUGGUUAUGUAUGGCAUCACUCACCAUCUGUUCAUGGAUACUUCUACAUGCAAAGUUGUACAUGACUUGGAAUAAACCAGCUCUAGUUUUAUCAUCA
rnacentral:sRNA from 1 species